UAGGAUCUAUGACAUGAUAUGUUGAAUAUAAAAUUUAAAAUAAUCACAUGAUAAAAUCUGCAUGCAUGGAUGUAAGUAGUAGAUCAAAUCUACAUCUAUCUGAGUUCAGAACUCGAUAUCUGAGCAUGAGUCGAUGAUCACUACUGUUGAGAGAUAUAGUAAGGAUGAUCUUUACUGAUUGCUCAUAGCUACAUAUGUAUCCGAUCACU
rnacentral:lncRNA from 1 species